rnacentral:rRNA from 1 species
GACGAACGCUGGCGGCGUGCUUAACACAUGCAAGUCGAGCGGAAAGGCCCUUCGGGGUACUCGAGCGGCGAACGGGUGAGUAACACGUGAGUAACCUGCCCUAGACUUUGGGAUAACCCUCGGAAACGGGGGCUAAUACCGGAUACGACACAGCUUCGCAUGGGGUCUGUGUGGAAAGUUUUUCGGUUUGGGAUGGGCUCGCGGCCUAUCAGCUUGGUGGUGGGGUGAUGGCCUACCAAGGCGACGACGGGUAGCCGGCCUGAGAGGGCGACCGGCCACACUGGGACUGAGACACGGCCCAGACUCCUACGGGAGGCAGCAGUGGGGAAUAUUGCACAAUGGGCGGAAGCCUGAUGCAGCGACGCCGCGUGAGGGAUGGCGGCCUUCGGGUUGUAAACCUCUUUCAGCAGGGACGAAGCGUAAGUGACGGUACCUGCAGAAGAAGCGCCGGCCAACUACGUG